GUGAAUCAUCGAAUCUUUGAACGCGAAUUGCACUCUCUGGUAUUCCGGAGAGUAUGCCUGUUUGAGGGUCAGUUUAAAUAAAAAUCGGUGUUGUUGCUGCCUUUCGUGGUGACGCACCGGAUUUGGGUCGUCUUUCCUUCGGUUAAGUGACCUAAAAUGUUUCAUGAUUUUUUCUAACUUAUUUAAAUGACUUUACUUACGUUUGCGAUAUCGAAUACUCGUUGUGGUCCUCCUCAUGAUUCGCUCCUCUAAUUUUUCAGCAAA
rnacentral:misc_RNA from 1 species